rnacentral:rRNA from 1 species
UACGUAGGGUGCAAGCGUUAUCCGGAAUUAUUGGGCGUAAAGAGCUCGUAGGCGGUUUGUCGCGUCUGCUGUGAAAACUGGAGGCUCAACCUCCAGCCUGCAGUGGGUACGGGCAAACUAGAGUGCGGUAGGGGAGAUUGGAAUUCCUGGUGUAGCGGUGGAAUGCGCAGAUAUCAGGAGGAACACCGGUGGCGAAGGCGGGUCUCUGGGCCGUAACUGACGCUGAGGAGCGAAAGUGUGGGGAGCGAACAGG